rnacentral:rRNA from 1 species
GACGUAGGGUCCAAGCGUUGUCCGGAUUUACUGGGCGUAAAGAGCGCGUAGGCGGUCUGUCGCGUCGGAUGUGAAAAUCCAGGGCUCAACCCUGGACCUGCAUUCGAUACGGGCAGACUAGAGUUCGGCAGGGGAGACUGGAAUUCCUGGUGUAGCGGUGAAAUGCGCAGAUAUCAGGAGGAACACCGGUGGCGAAGGCGGGUCUCUGGGCCGAUACUGACGCUGAGGAGCGAAAGCGUGGGGAGCGAACAGG